rnacentral:rRNA from 1 species
UGUAAGCGUAUACCAAAGUCGUUGCAGUUAAAACGCUCGUAGUCGGAAUUUGGCAGUUCCGGAUGUGUGCACGUCGUGUGCGCACUUCGCGGGGAUUGCUUUUGUGGUCUUGCGUAGGAUGAGGCACUUUUAUUAGUGAACGUCCUCAUGCAACCACUUUUUACUGUGAGAAAAUCAGAGUGCUCAAAGCAGGCAUUUGCCGUGAAUGUAUUAGCAUGGAAUAAUAGAAUAGGACUUGGUUCUAUUUUGUUGGUUUGUUGGGACUGAGUAAUGAUUAAGAGGGACAGUUGGGGGCAUUUGUAUUUCGGUGCUAGAGGUGAAAUUCUUAGAUUACCGAAAGACAAACUGCUGCGAAAGCGUCUGCCAAGGAUGUUUUCAUUGA